UACAGGGGGGGCAAGCGUUGUUCGGAAUUACUGGGCGUAAAGGGUUCGUAGGUGGCCAACUAAGACAGAUGUGAAAUCACUCAGCUUAACUGGGGAACUGCUUCUGAUACUGGUUGGCUUGAGUGCAGGAGAGGAAUGCGGAAUUCCAGGUGUAGCGGUGAAAUGCGUAGAUAUCUGGAGGAACACCGGUGGCGAAGGCGGCAUUCUAGACUGUAACUGACACUGAGGAACGAAAGCCAGGGGAGCAAACGGG
rnacentral:rRNA from 1 species